GACGAACGCUGGCGGCGUGCUUAACACAUGCAAGUCGAGCGGUAAGGCCCUUUCGGGGGUACACGAGCGGCGAACGGGUGAGUAACACGUGGGUGACCUGCCCUCAGCUCUGGGAUAAGCCUGGGAAACCGGGUCUAAUACUGGAUAUGACUCCAUGACGCAUGUUGUGGGGUGGAAAGCCUUGUGCGGCUGAGGAUGGGCCCGCGGCCUAUCAGCUUGUUGGGUGGGGUGANGGCCUACCAAGGCGACGACGGGUAGCCGGCCUGAGAGGCGACCGGCCACACUGGGACUGAGACACGGCCCAGACUCCUACGGGAGGCAGCAGUGGGGAAUCUUGCGCAAUGGGCGAAAGCCUGACGCAGCGACGCCGCGUGAGGGAUGACGGCCU
rnacentral:rRNA from 1 species